CAGCCGCCGCGGUAAAACGUAGGUGGCAAGCGUUGUCCGGAAUUAUUGGGCGUAAAGGGCUCGCAGGCGGUUUCUUAAGUCUGAUGUGAAAGCCCCCGGCUCAACCGGGGAGGGUCAUUGGAAACUGGGAGACUUGAGUGCAGAAGAGGAGAGUGGAAUUCCACGUGUAGCGGUGAAAUGCGUAGAGAUGUGGAGGAACACCAGUGGCGAAGGCGACUCUCUGGUCUGUAACUGACGCUGAGGAGCGAAAGCGUGGGGAGCGAACAGGAUUAGAUACCCCCGUAGUCCCUGUCUCUUAUAC
rnacentral:rRNA from 1 species